GGAUUUAGCUCAGUGGUAGAGCGCUUGCCUAGCAAGCACAAGACCCUGGGUUCGGUCCCCAGCUCCG
rnacentral:tRNA from 1 species